rnacentral:tRNA from 1 species
GCCUUCGUGGUGUAGUGGUCAGCACGUUCGGCGCAGAGGUCCAUGGUUCGAGUCCCGGCGAGGGCA